rnacentral:pre_miRNA from 1 species
UGGACAAAUUAUUGUAUUCGACUGUAUUCACGGCGUGAAACAGGGGAUUACCACUAAUUUUUAACGAAGGUGAAUCACUUAACAUAAUAGACUCCU